rnacentral:rRNA from 1 species
AAGUGGUGCUUGGACCAAAUGAAACUAGAUACAAGCGAGCGGCGGACGGGUGAGUAACACGUGGGUAACCUGCCCAAGAGACUGGGAUAACACCUGGAAACAGAUGCUAAUACCGGAUAACAACACUAGACGCAUGUCUAGAGUUUAAAAGAUGGUUCUGCUAUCACUCUUGGAUGGACCUGCGGUGCAUUAGCUAGUUGGUAAGGUAACGGCUUACCAAGGCAAUGAUGCAUAGCCGAGUUGAGAGACUGAUCGGCCACAUUGGGACUGAGACACGGCCCAAACUCCUACGGGAGGCAGCAGUAGGGAAUCUUCCACAAUGGACGCAAGUCUGAUGGAGCAACGCCGCGUGAGUGAAGAAGGGUUUCGGCUCGUAAAGCUCUGUUGGUAGUGAAGAAAGAUAGAGGUAGUAACUGGCCUUUAUUUGACGGUAAUUACUUAGAAAGUCACGGCUAACUACGUGCCAGCAGCCGCGGUAAUACGUAGGUGGCAAGCGUUGUCCGGAUUUAUUGGGCGUAAAGCGAGUGCAGGCGGUUCAAUAAGUCUGAUGUGAAAGCCUUCGGCUCAACCGGAGAAUUGCAUCAGAAACUGUUGAACUUGAGUGCAGAAGAGGAGAGUGGAACUCCAUGUGUAGCGGUGGAAUGAAGUAGAUAUAUGGAAGAACACCAGUGGUCGAAGGC